rnacentral:rRNA from 1 species
GACGAACGCUGGCGGCAUGCCUUACACAUGCAAGUCGAACGGUAACAGGUCUUCGGAUGCUGACGAGUGGCGAACGGGUGAGUAAUACAUCGGAACGUGCCCGAUCGUGGGGGAUAACGCAGCGAAAGCUGUGCUAAUACCGCAUACGAUCUACGGAUGAAAGCGGGGGAUCGCAAGACCUCGCGCGGACGGAGCGGCCGAUGGCAGAUUAGGUAGUUGGUGGGAUAAAAGCUUACCAAGCCGACGAUCUGUAGCUGGUCUGAGAGGACGACCAGCCACACUGGGACUGAGACACGGCCCAGACUCCUACGGGAGGCAGCAGUGGGGAAUUUUGGACAAUGGGCGCAAGCCUGAUCCAGCCAUGCCGCGUGCAGGAUGAAGGCCUUCGGGUUGUAAACUGCUUUUGUACGGAACGAAAAAGCUCUCUCUAAUACAGGGGGUGAAUGACGGUACCGUAAGAAUAAGCACCGGCUAACUACGUGCCAGCAGCCGCGGUAA